AAAAGGAAUGAAAUCUUGCCAUUUACAACUACGUGGAUGGAACUGAAAGUAAUUGCUUGCCUUGAGAAGGAGCUCUGUGCAGGGUCUGGGCCACUCUCAUGGCUGCUGUCUCCCUUUGAGGGAGCUGGAGGGAGAGGUGCUCUGGUCCAUCUGCCUCAACUACUUGAGAGACCCCGUAGCCAUCAGCUGCGAUCACGUCUUCUGCUACCGCUGCAUCAUUCAGGUAAAAUUUUAAAUCAUCUGAAGAUUCUGAAGGGGGACUGAGACAGGAUCCAGAAUUUUCAGUCAACAGGAGAAGAUGAGGUUCAGGCCCUGCUGGGCCACCAGUUCCUGAGAGAAAGGGAGCAGUACCCACUGGACCUGCUGGAAAGGAUAGAGCAAGAUCUCGCCCACGGGAGGAACAGCCAUGUCACCAAGAGCUCAGAGGAAGCCGUCCGGCUUGGAACCUUCAUUUCUGAGUAGGAAAAAAUGGCUCAGCAGCCUGCAGUUGAGCUUUUGCAGGAGAGGAGCAAGCUAAAUUAUACUUGGAUCCUCUUGCUGUAAGCUGCGAUUUGGCCCUAGUUAGCAUGAGGUUUGGACCAGAAGUCAAGAGAGAAGAAAGUUUUAUUAUCAUUUUUUGAGGACUUUCAUAACCCGUAAUCAGCUAAUCAAUAGGUUUUAAGUCCUAAAUUGAGUGGGCAGGGGAGAGUAAUAUACACAGACCACACAGUAGAUAGUAACCUGUAGUUUACAAUGACAACAAAACAUCAAGUGUGAACUCUUGUGGUCAGAAUGGAGCCCACGGAGACAGAGGUUUAGCAGGGAGGCUUUUGUGAAAGAAGACGUGUUUAAUGUUGGCCUUGAAAAAAAUGCAAACAUUUGGGUUCGCAGAAAGGAGGAGCUGAAGCUCAGUGAGGGAGCGCUGGUGAGGGUUAGUACACGGUCUGUGAUCACACAGUGGUGAAGAUACUGAGGGAGUACUUUUUAGGGUUACUACUCGGGCUGUGAUCACAGGCUGUGCAGGGACUGAGGGAGCACUGGUGGGGGUUAGUACGCAGGCUGUGAUCACAUGCUGUGCAGGGACUCAGGGAGCACUGGUGAGGGUUAGUUUGCAGGCUGUGAUCACAGGCUGUGCAGGGACUGAGGGAGCACUGGUGGGGGUUAGUUCGCGGGCUGUGAUCACACGCUGUGCACGAACUGAGGGAGCACUGCUGAGGGUUAGUACGCCGGAUGUGAUCACAGGCUGUGCAGGGACUGCGGGAGCACUGGUGAGGGUUAGUUUGCAGGCUGUGAUCACAGGCUGUGCAGGGACUGAGGGAGCAUUGGUGAGGGUUAGUACGCGGGCUGUGAUCACAUAGUGGUGAAUGUCCUGAGGGAGUACUUUUGAGGGUUGGUACUCAGGUUGUGAUCACACGCUGUGCAGGGACUCAGGGAGCACUAGUGAGGGUUAGUUUGCAGGCUGUGAUCACAGGCUAGGCAGGGACUGAGGGAGCACUGGUGGGGGUUAGUUCAUUGGCUGUGAUCACACGCUGUGCAUGACCUGAGGGAGCACUGCUGAGGGUUAGUACGCCGGAUGUGAUCACAUGCUGGUACAGGUAAUAGGGAGUACUGGGGAGGGUUAGUAUGCAGGCUGUUAUCACAUGCUGGUGCGGGUACUGAGAGAGCACUGUUGAGGCUCAGUACACAGUCUGCUAUCACAUGGUGGUGAAGAUGCAGAGGGAGUACUUUUUAGGGUUAGUACUCAGACUGUGAUCACAGGCUG